CCGUUAGUUUCAGAAAGUCCUUUUUAUUAUGUCUUCAACUGAAAUUCGAGCUUUACAUAAAGUCGAAAGUAAAUUAAUUAGAUUUAGCAUAGAUUUCAACUGGAUUUACUUGGGUUGACUUAACUUUUUCCUUUAUUUUUAGUAAACAUUUUGAAACUUGAACAUCGCUUUCAUUCGAUCUAUGGUUGUGUUCGAUCCCUACAUAGGAUCUAAAUUAUUCAACUUAGAAAUAAUCAUGCUCCUAUCCAGAAGAACAUGGAACUACCAUAACAAAAUUAGAACUAGAUAUGCCCGAACUAAAGAAAUGCUUUUCAAAUGGGAAACGACAAACAACACCCAAUGUAAUUGUGGAAACCCUUUACAAAACAUCAAAUAUCGUCCAAAAAUGCCCCCUGGAGAAAAUGCAUGGAGAAAAUGCAUGGAGAAAAUCAUUAAACUUAGAAAUUUAAAUCUCAAC